rnacentral:rRNA from 1 species
AUUGAACGCUGGCGGAAUGCUUUACACAUGCAAGUCGAACGGCAGCACGGGGGCAACCCUGGUGGCGAGUGGUGAACGGGUGAGUAAUACAUCGGAACGUGCCCGGUCGUGGGGGAUAACGUAGCGAAAGUUACGCUAAUACCGCAUACGAUCUGAGGAUGAAAGCGGGGGACCUUCGGGCCUCGCGCGAUCGGAGCGGCCGAUGUCAGAUUAGGUAGUUGGUGGGGUAAAGGCCUACCAAGCCGACGAUCUGUAGCUGGUCUGAGAGGACGACCAGCCACACUGGGACUGAGACACGGCCCAGACUCCUACGGGAGGCAGCAGUGGGGAAUUUGGGACAAUGGGCGCAAGCCUGAUCCAGCCAUUCCGCGUGCAGGACGAAGGCCUUCGGGUUGUAAACUGCUUUUGUAUGGAACGAAAAGGCUCUGGCUAAUACCUGGGGCUCAUGACGGUACCGUAAGAAUAAGCACCGGCUAACUACGU